rnacentral:lncRNA from 1 species
AAUCACAUAGAUUAUCCCAAUCGAGAUUUUACUGAAUUGAAACACUGAUACAUUAACUCCUACAUAUUCGGAGGGGUCAAUUCCAUCUUAACUCAUACACUAACUUUUCAAGUACUUGACUGUGCCCAAAAGUCUAUCAUCACUGAAUUAAAAAUUCAGAUAGUUCGGUACCAAAGUACAGUGAGUUGCUUGCAAGUCACUGUGGUGAUCUC